rnacentral:rRNA from 1 species
AUUGAACGCUGGCGGCAUGCCUUACACAUGCAAGUCGAACGGUAACGGGCCUUCGGGUGCCGACGAGUGGCGAACGGGUGAGUAAUGUAUCGGAACGUACCUUUCAGUGGGGGAUAACGUAGCGAAAGUUACGCUAAUACCGCAUAUUCUGUGAGCAGGAAGGCAGGGGAUCGCAAGACCUUGCGCUGAUUGAGCGGCCGAUGUCAGAUUAGCUAGUUGGUGAGGUAAAGGCUCACCAAGGCGACGAUCUGUAGCGGGUCUGAGAGGAUGAUCCGCCACACUGGAACUGAGACACGGUCCAGACUCCUACGGGAGGCAGCAGAGGGGAAUUUUGGACAAUGGGGGCAACCCUGAUCCAGCCAUGCCGCGUGAGUGAAGAAGGCCUUCGGGUUGUAAAGCUCUUUCGGCCGGGAAGAAAUCGCACGGGCUAAUACCCUGUGUGGAUGACGGUACCGGAAUAAGAAGCACCGGCUAACUACGUGCCAGCCGCCGCCGUAAGAC